rnacentral:tRNA from 1 species
GGAGGGGUGGCCGAGUGGUCGAUGGCGACGGUCUUGAAAACCGUAGGACGAAAGUCCCGUGGGUUCGAAUCCUACCCCCUCCGCCA